rnacentral:rRNA from 1 species
ACUCCUACGGGAGGCAGCAGUAGGGAAUCUUCCACAAUGGGCGCAAGCCUGAUGGAGCAACACCGCGUGAGUGAAGAAGGGUUUCGGCUCGUAAAGCUCUGUUGUUAAAGAAGAACACGUAUGAGAGUAACUGUUCAUACGUUGACGGUAUUUAACCAGAAAGUCACGGCUAACUACGUGCCAGCAGCCGCGGUAAUACGUAGGUGGCAAGCGUUAUCCGGAUUUAUUGGGCGUAAAGAGAGUGCAGGCGGUUUUUCUAAGUUCUGAUGUGAAAGCCUUCGGCUUAACCGGAGAAGUGCAUCGGAAACUGGAUAACUUGAGUGCAGAAGAGGGUAAGUGGAACUCCAUGUGUAGCGGUGGAAUGCGUAGAUAUAUGGAAGAACACCGAGUGGCGAAGGCGGCUACCUGGUCUGCAACUGACGCUGAGACUCGAAAGCAUGGGUAGCGAACAGGAUUAGAUACCCCGUGGUAGGAUAGCG